CCUACGGGAGGCAGCAGUGAGGAAUAUUGGACAAUGGGCGCAAGCCUGAUCCAGCCAUGCCGCGUGCAGGAAGACGCAUCUAUGGUGUGUAAACUGCUUUUGUACAGGAAGAAACACUCCCUCGUGAGGGAGCUUGACGGUACUGUAAGAAUAAGGAUCGGCUAACUCCGUGCCAGCAGCCGCGGUAAUACGGAGGAUCCAAGCGUUAUCCGGAAUCAUUGGGUUUAAAGGGUCCGUAGGCGGUUUAAUAAGUCAGUGGUGAAAUCUGGUCGCUCAACGAUCAAACGGCCAUUGAUACUGUUAGACUUGAAUUAUAAGGAAGUAACUAGAAUAUGUAGUGUAGCGGUGAAAUGCUUAGAUAUUACAUGGAAUACCAAUUGCGAAGGCAGGUUACUACUUAUGGAUUGACGCUGAUGGACGAAAGCGUGGGGAGCGAACAGGAUUAGAUACCCUGGUAGUCCACGCCGUAAACGAUGGAUACUAGCUGUUGGGCGCAAGUUCAGUGGCUAAGCGAAAGUGAUAAGUAUCCCACCUGGGGAGGUACGUCGCGAGAAGUAGAACGUACGAAGUAAGUAGUAGACGUAGAGAGAGACGACGACGACGACGAGGAGGGAGGAG
rnacentral:rRNA from 1 species